rnacentral:lncRNA from 1 species
UUUUUUUCCUGCCUCCGUUUAGUUGCCUGGUUUUGUUUUUUUUAGUUUUUUUGUCAUCUUGGUUCAGUUUUAGCAAUUUAUAUGUGCCUAGGAAUCUAUUCCCCCCACCUUUUUUGGUUUUUGAAUGCUGCAAAUUUUCCACCUCCUAUCAUGCUGCCGUCCUAAAGAGAGGCAGGUGCCAAAAUCAGCAGAAUAUUCUACUUCUUGCUACUAUGGAGACCUGGGGGACUGUAAUGUACUUAUUUGGAGUGGAGAAGGAAUGUUCUCCCAGGAAAACUGGCUGCAUUGAGGAUCAGUCCCUCUUUGAAGACAUAUAUUCUGUGGAAGGAGACUGGAGACACCUGGAGCAUUUGCAGAUAUUCCAUAGCACUAUAGAACUUUGCUUUACCUACCAUUAUCUGGUGUACAUCUGCUGUGUGUCAGACACUGUUUCCAUGUAGAGGAUAUGGAGGGAAACUAGAUGUGGGAGUCCUUGCACCCAAGGGUAUCACAUUCCUAGAGGAGAAGGACAGCCAAGAAGAGAAAGGAAAGUACUAAUCAAGUAUUGCUUAGUUUUCCAAGAGGAACAGAAAGUGCUGCUGAGAUUAAAGGUGAGGAGGAGAUCUGAUUACCAAGGAGGAUCAGGAAAGUCCUUUCUGAGGAGUGGUAUUUUAAAACAAGACAUUAAGGAUUAGGCAUUUGUCUCUGAGCAUCCAGGGUAAGAACAUUUCAGAAACAGCAUGCAAAGACCUUGGGGCAGGACAGGGCUCCUCACUGAUGAAUGAGAGAAGAUUUAUGUGGCUGGAAGGUGGAGAGUGAGGAGAGGCAUGAGAAGAGAGGAGACCGGAGGAGUAGGCAGGGCUCAGUGUCCACCCCAGUGGGCCACAGUUUUAUUAAGUACAUUACAUCUUUCAUUGGCUACACUGGGGAUGAUCCAUGCUCCUGUCUUUAGCUUUUUGGGGGUGAUAUAAGUAUUUUCAACCUACAGAUUGCUUAACUUUGAGAAAUGUUCAGGGGAUAUAUUUGCCUCAGAUAUGGGGCAAAACAUUGUGAGGAAUUUCAAUCAGUUGGGAUUUCAAGGCCCUAAGAGUGUGGAAACAUGUGGCUUGAUUCUCUCACAGGGAACCUUUUUAAACAACUGAGCAGAGUAUGAUAGCCACAAUUAGAGUCCAGGAAAUUAAGCCUUAAACCUUAUAGUGUAUCUGGCUCUUAACAUAUCAUGUGAUAGAAGGAGCUAGUUUAAUGUAAGUGAUGAAAGGCCACAGUUCAAUCUCAGUGAACACUCAGCCUUUUCAUCACCCUUUCUAUUAAAAUUGGAAGUCAUAUCUGCUCUUCUUGCUAUAUGAAAACACAUUAUGGAACUUGGGGUUACUCUAUAACUUGUGUCCUCUCCAAACUACUAGAUAAAGCUUUUAGAUAUCAAGCCAGCAUUUACAGAGGGAUGGCUAAAGGCCAGCACUGGGCUUAUCUUUGUCUGCAGUCAAAGACAACAGGAGCUAGACUCACAGUUCUAGAGCUCUGGCUCCCUGCAGGUCAUAGACCAGAGCAUGGUCGGUUCUGGGUUCCUUUGGAAGAGAAAGAUAUAACCACAAGCACUCAUUUGAUAGAUUAGGUUCUGACAGACUCUUCACCGUGUCUGGGUGCAAAACAUCAAAGUCACAGGAACAUUACCAUUUCACAUCCACUAGGAUGUUUGUUCAAAACGAAUGAAUGAAUGAGAAAUCAUCGAGGAUAUGGAGAACUAGCACUGUCAAACACUGCUGGUGAGAAUGUAAAAUGAUGCAGCUAUUAUGGGCUGUUCUGUCUGGUGGUUCUCUAAAAAGUUAGACAUAUAGCCAUAUGAGUCAACAAUUUCUUUUGUGUUGUAUACUGAAUAUAACUGAAAUCAUUAUUUAAAUAAAUACAUGUUCUCAUUGUCCAUAACACCACAAUUCACAAAACUUAGGAUGUGGAAUCAUCCCACACAUCUGAGCAGGUGAAAGGUGGUAUGCUUUGGACAUGGAAUGUUCCCCAAAGCCUUAUGCACUCAGAUGUGGGGUUCUGGGGAGAUGACUGGACCAUGGGGGCAUGAAUGAGAUGUUAGGAAGUGGGUCAGUGGGUGUUAUGGCCUGUGUCUAGAUGUUCCCCCAAAGCCUCAUGCAGUCAUGAGUGGGCCUUUUUCAUAGGUGGCUGAAUCUAAAGUGUGUGAUUGAUUCAUGGUGCAAUGCAAGAUUAAGGGUGCUAGGGUUAAGGGUGGGUGAUAACUAAGUCAAUCUACUGAUUGCUUUGGCACAGCCCUAAUCCUGGUACCCUGUAUUCAAUAUAACGGAUGGAAAGAGGCUUGUCUUGUCCCUUAUUUGUUUGCUUUGCCACCUUCUGCUCACCAUGAGCUGUUUUUCCUCUGCAAUGUCUGUAUACCAUUCCACCCUGCCUUGGAGCCAGCCAAUUAUGGAUCAAACCUCUAAAAACUGAGCUAAAUAAACCUUUCCUCCUCUUAACUUGUGUGUGUUGGGUUUUUUAUCUCAGCAAUGAGAAAAGUAACUAAGACACUGGGG